UGGCGAACGGGUGAGGAACACGUGGGCAACCUGCCCAAAAGAGGGGGAUAACACUUGGAAACAGGUGCUAAUACCGCAUAACCAUAGUUACCGCAUGGUAACUAUGUAAAAGGUGGCUAUGCUACCGCUUUUGGAUGGGCCCGCGGCGCAUUAGCUAGUUGGUGGGGUAAAGGCUUACCAAGGCAAUGAUGCGUAGCCGAACUGAGAGGUUGAUCGGCCACAUUGGGACUGAGACACGGCCCAAACUCCUACGGGAGGCAGCAGUAGGGAAUCUUCCACAAUGGGCGAAAGCCUGAUGGAGCAACGCCGCGUGGGUGAAGAAGGUCUUCGGAUCGUAAAACCCUGUUGUUAGAGAAGAAAGUGCGUGAGAGUAACUGUUCACGUUUCGACGGUAUCUAACCAGAAAGCCACGGCUAACUACGUGCCAGCAGCCGCGGUAAUACGUAGGUGGCAAGCGUUAUCCGGAUUUAUUGGGCGUAAAGGGAACGCAGGCGGUCUUUUAAGUCUGAUGUGAAAGCCUUCGGCUUAACCGGAGUAGUGCAUUGGAAACUGGGAGACUUGAGUGCAGAAGAGGAGAGUGGAACUCCAUGUGUAGCGGUGAAAUGCGUAGAUAUAUGGAAGAACACCAGUGGCGAAAGCGGCUCUCUGGUCUGUAACUGACGCUGAGGUUCGAAAGCGUGGGUAGCAAACAGGAUUAGAUACCCUGGUAGUCCACGCCGUAAACGAUGAAUGCUAAGUGU
rnacentral:rRNA from 1 species